CAUACAGCUGGAGGAUUUCAAGAACGAAAAACGAUAUGCCCACUAUAGUAAUUUCUCAGUCGGGAAUGAAGCGCAAUCUUACAAACUAUUAAGUGUGGGUGAAUAUUCUGGAAAUGCUGGAAACGCACUCGAUAGCAGAGAUGGACUUGGAGGUGACGCUAAGAAUAUGAAAUUCUCAACCCCAGAGCGGGAUAAUAAUAAAGCCUUUAAUUUUAAUUGUGCUGCUUUUUACGCGAGUGGUUGGUGGUUUAAUAGAUGUUCUUUGUGUAACCUUAAUGGAGUUUAUAUGAACACUUAUGAAGCCCAUUAUCAGUCAAUCGUAUGGGGGGAAUGGCAU